CCUACGGGAGGCAGCAGUGAGGAAUAUUGGUCAAUGGACGCAAGUCUGAACCAGCCAUGCCGCGUGCAGGAUGACGGCUCUAUGAGUUGUAAACUGCUUUUGUACGAGGGUAAUAUCGGAUACGUGUAUCUGCUUGAAAGUAUCGUACGAAUAAAGAUCGGCUAACUCCGUGCCAGCAGCCGCGGUAAUACGGAGGAUGCGAGCGUUAUCCGGAUUUAUUGGGUUUAAAGGGUGCGUAGGCGGAAUGCCAAGUCAGCGGUAAAAUCGCGGGGCUCAACCUCGCUCCGCCGUUGAAACUGGCGUUU
rnacentral:rRNA from 1 species